CAAGAAGGAAGGAACCUCAUUGUUGACAGUUACCAGAUGACUGUGCCCCUUCUGUGCAACUAAGAAAUGGAAUAGACGUUGGGACAAGUAACUAGGUCUGACGUUGGAGCAAUGGCUAAAGCUUGCUGUGAUGACCUUCCUCCCAAGGAGCCUGGCUUUCUUCAGUCUAAUUACUUUUGGCAAUUGCGGUUAUUGGGAUUUGGCCUAGUGACUCAUUGGAACCCAUAUUAUCCCAAAGAGCCACCUUAACUAGCAGGAUUAAGUCUGUCAGGAAGCCCAGACUUCCACUCCACUUUUACAUGGAGCUUUCCCCAGUUUAUGGCAAGAUUUGAAAAUCCUUCACGGACUAAAAAAGACUCAUAAACAAGAUUUAAUGGAGAUAACUACCCAAAGAAGAGCACAUUAGGAGUGAAGUAGAAAUGAUAAGUUCGUGAAUAAAUGACCUACUGCAAAACGGAACCGAUUAAGGUAGAGUUAAAACUAUGCUAUUUAUAGUCGUUUUACUGAUCACCAGUAGUCAAUCUAAAGUGAGUCAGGAACUGUAGAAACUAUAAAAGAAAAGGACGUUUAUUUAUCGUUAGGCAUUUCCUAACCAUUAAAUUUUCCCUAAAAACAAGGAGGACUCUAGGGCACAUUAGCAGUCAUCUGGCAAGACAUAAAAACAGUUGUUUAUUAUUAAGUAGCUUUGAAAAAAAAGUUGAGUAUGGCUGAUAACCAUUUUCUACAACUGUCCUAUUUAUACCCCCUCCACACAGUAUAGCUUAGCAGCAAGCACACUCCCCCAUGGUUUGUACCUCUCCUAGUAGCUGUGUUUUUAUUUUAUGAAGCCAGCAUCUGUUACAUUCACUAGUGUGCCCUACUGUGUGCAUUUUGCUGUGUUCUUUUGACUGAGAUAAUUCUCUAUCAGACAGUCUUGUCUGUACCAAUCAGGGCUACAAGUUUAAUAACACUCUUGAUCAACAAUACAGAUCAAUAGAGUAUUGAUCAAUAAUAUCAGAACACUUUAUAUUUUACACUACUAUUUGUUCAAAUGACAUCUAUCUCAUUUGUAAUCACACUCCACAUAUGCCUAUUUUGUCCAUCUAGCCUUCCUGAAACUGGCAUGGUUUUCAAUGGUUGCUUAGCUGCAAUAGUGAUUCCUGAAUUAAGGCUCUUACAAUAUUCUUCCGUCUUGGCUGCACAUUAGAAUCACCAGAACUACUUUAAUAAAUAUAGAUAUUCAGGUCCGAUCCCCAAAGAUUGUUUCAUUUGUUCGAGGGUGGAGUCUGGGCAUUAGUAUCUUUUUAAAGAUCCCCAGGAGAUUCUAAUGUGAACUCAGGGAUGAAAAUCAUUGUACAAAGACCCAUAAAGCAAGAAUUCAGAGUGGAGGUUACUGUUAAUGCUCAUGGUAAAAGUAAUAUAAAUAACAGACUUUAUGAAGUGCCAUAAAGAUAACUUUUUCUGGAUGACAAUAACCAGCCAGUAAAAUAUCUUUUGUGGUUGUAAAUUACAUAGAAGGAUUCUGAUUUUUAACUGCAAAAUUAUAGACUUUUCCCACAUCCUCAUGCCUACAUUAAUCUUUUCUUGGUUACUCACACCAUAGAUGGAAAUAAUAAUCAUAGAGUCUUUCAUAUAAACUGCAAUCCCAUUGUUUUUAAUGAAAAAAAAAUCAGCAAAUUUUUAUGUUUAAAAGCCAUCAAUAAGACAAGUUUAAAGAAAGAGGACAAAGGGUAAAGGAAAGAAAGCGAGGUAGAGGAGGGUACUUUAAUAUCAGAAGCAACCUUUAUAGUAAAUGUUUGAAAAAAGACUUAUGGUUUGUUAAAUGAUGAUAAAGAGAGAAAGAGGAAAGAAGAGAGUAAGAGAAAGAAAAAGUGAGGUGGAAUUUGGAAAAUGCACCAUGAAUGCCUCAAGUACCAACCCUAAUAGUUAAGGUGGAGUGAAGAAUCAAAGAAGGACCUUGGCUUUGGAAUCAAGCCUAGAUUGGGAUCUGAGGGCCACCUCACUUCCUUGAGUGAUCAACAAAAGUGGGACUAUUGGCACAUUCCUUACAGGUGGAUAUGAAGAUCAAAUGAGAUAAUUUUUGCAAAAGCAUCAAGCAAAGGGUCUGGCACUUACUGGUGAUUACAACAUGGGAGCUAUUGAGUAAUAACUAUUAUCAUAAUAUUCACUUUAGUAAGUAUACAUGCAUAUUAAGAUAAGAUGUAUAUAAAUAUAACAGUGGCUCUGAGAGCUAAAAAGCUGUUGUUUGCCAUGUAACAUUUACGCAUAUUUUGGCAUAUUAUUUAUUCUUGGCAAAAUGUGAUUGAUAUUUCCCUGGUGUAUAUGACAGUCUUUGUUGAGAUGACAGUGUUCUUACCUUUGAUUUCUCUUUGUAGAACAAGGGAACAAAACAAUGAGAAAGGACUGCUCUUUUUCUUACCAACUUAUUGAGCAUAUGUUAAGAAAACAGUGUUCUAAAAUAAGCAGCUCACAAAUUCUGUUAUUUUAUAUUGUGUGGUAGUGGUUUGUAUUAUGUGGUUAUAAAAUGGGGGCUGCUUUACCACUUACUCUCAGGAAUGUGCUUUGUAUUGGGGUAUAAUUAUAAAUAUGCUUACCAGCUAGUUUUCUAAGGACAAUUUUUGGGAGUGAAUAUAGCACAUUGCAUUACUGUGUGUUCAUUUUAGAAAGGUGUUUUAAGGUAACUAGAUCUAAUCCUAUGUCCAUGCCAAGUGCUCAGAAGAGGACUAGUAGAAUAAACUGCUUCUGAUACAGAAGCCCUAAAAAUAGGAGGAAAAGGGGGGAGAGCUUAGGGGGCUGACUGUUAUUGAGGCUAGACAAUCACUCAGUGGGAAUGUUAUAGAAGUGAUCCCACACUGUGUAGAUGGACUGGAUUCUUUCAAGUUUUAUCCCUUCCAGAGAUUCUCUUAUAUUAAGAGAGCACACUUUGUAGAGAAAUCUACUUAAAAGUAGAACGCUACUGUGAUGAACAGAUACUGGACCCAAAUUCAAUGGUUCAAAAUUUUACUUUUAUACCUUAUGUAAACUUGCCUUUCAUUAUCAUAGUUUUCCAGGUCUCCUUGUGAUAUGUGGCAAAGUUCCACAGGUAAGAAGACUUCUAAGUACAAUUUUCAGCUGCAAGAUUUGGCAACAAAAACUACAGUUCAUGAUACCAGUGACCAUCCUCUUAUGUAACACAGAGAAUAUUAUAAAAAAAACAUUAAAAACCACAGUUGAAAAUGAUAUAUUAAACUACUUAAAAUAAACAAGGUACCUUAAUGUAAUUAAUCUUAUUUUGACAUUACCAAGAAGAGUGAGUCUCAAUGUCAGCACAGCAUACAUUUUUUACACCCCCAUAUCAGUAGGAGAUCACACACUUUUGAUAAUAAUAAACAUCAUUUUUAUGUGAGAGACUCUAAAGUACUUGUGUUCAGCCCUAAUACUCUAAUCCCAGGUGUUUUGAGUUUUGAGUUCCUAAACGUCCUACUGGCUCCUCAGAAAAGAAACAGAUUUCCAACAAGACCUGCUUCUCCUAUUUUUCUUUUUGUUGAUCGUCAUCAUUUUUCCAUUCACCCAGACCUGAGUCCUUACACUCCAAAGUUUAUUGCCAAAUAUGAGCCUACAUCUCUUUCCCUUUCAUAUCCAAUUAAUUGCCAAGAACUACUGAUUUGGUUAAAAGAAAUUAUCUGCUAUAUAUACUCUCCUGUGCAAUCAUUCACCGUUGUAGCAUAGGGCCUUAUUUUCUUAAACCUGGACUAUUGUAAUCAUCUCUUCCUCGUCAUUACAGGCCACCUCUGAAAGCCUGCCGCGCUAGGGAAGCUCUGAAGUGACCCUUGAGUCAGUAUUCCGAACCAGCUCCCUAACCCUGAGCCUAAGGACAAGAUGGACCUGCUAUAGACUGAGUAUGAUGAUUGCUGCUGUAACUAUGGUUUUCAGACAACGAAAAAUGUGAAGAUGAGGCAUAUCAUAAUUAAUUCAUUAUCCACAUUGAUCACUUACUUAUUAACCUUUAUGUGAUGAAUUUACUUAUACUAAAUGAAUGUUUAUUUUUGUUUGCACUCAAUCUUUAUCUGUUAAAUUUAGUUGAUUAAGAUAAGCUAUUAUUUAACUCCCUAGUUGUGACUUAUAUUCUCUUACCAAAAGAUUAAAUGUUGCGAAGACCAUAGGGAUCACUAGAUCUAAGUUUUUGAUCCACCUCCUCAUUUUGCAGAUGAAAAGCUUCAGCUUGGUACAGUAAAAGGACUUUCUUGGGUUAUUCAGGCAUCAGCAGUAAUGCUGGAUCUGGAACCCAGGUCUUCAACUUCUCAGUCUACCUUUUCUCAACAUACACUAGGAGCCUUCCUUCUCAGAUUCUACCACAAACUUAUGAUACUUGCAAUUAAUUAAAUUCUAAAGGUCAGAUGAAACAUUAAUAAGGCAGUGUUUUGAAGAGUAGAUUAGAUGUUUGCAUAAAACAUAAGGACAGUUAAAAGCCAUUAAAUAUUUAUUUAAUUGGACAAUCAUAUUCUUUAGUACCAAUGAAUUUUCUCUAAAAAAAUUCAAGAAAAAUUUUAGCUACAGCAGAUAGCACCUAGGUCCCUUGCUGAGAUGACAAAUGAAGCAGAAAUGCUUUUGUCGGAGGCACCUGCAACCCUGUUUUUAAAAAAUAAAAUUUAAAAAUUAUUCCAAGAGUUCAAAUGUGAAAAGAAUUCAGGUAUUUUGCUUAAAAGAUCUAUGUUAUUGAAACUUUAGAGCAGAAAAUGGGAUUCUUAGCAAUCGAUGACAUUUAGAUAUUUAGCAUUCCCAGCACCCCCACAGUCUUUGAGAAUGGAACACCCCCAUUCUUUUCAGUAUUGCUGGAUGACUACUUUAAUCAGAAUGUCAGUAAUAUUCCUAAAUGGAAAGAUCUGAUGGGCAGAAUUGGAGAAAGAGAAAAGAUGGCUAACACCUUUACAUAUGUAUAUGGUAUACUUCAUGUGUUUAGUUAUAGUUGCAAAGCAUUUCAAAUUUACUAGGUUGUCAAACAGAUAUCAAAUUUUAAGAUAAUUCAACCAUGUGAAACCCUGAGAAAAAUCUCUAAUUAAGAAAGCAAUCUACAUUUUCCCUUAAAAUCAAAGGCGAAGCAAAAAAAAAAAAAAAAAAAAAAAAAA